rnacentral:piRNA from 1 species
UGCCAUGGUUCUGUGAACUCUGCUUCAAGA